GACAGAGGAUGCAAGCGUUGUCCGGAAUUAUUGGGCGUAAAGAGCUCGUAGGCGGUUCGUCGCGUCGGCUGUGAAAUCCCGGAGCUCAACUCCGGGUCUGCAGUCGAUACGGGCGGACUUGAGUACUGCAGGGGAGACUGGAAUUCCUGGUGUAGCGGUGAAAUGCGCAGAUAUCAGGAGGAACACCGGUGGCGAAGGCGGGUCUCUGGGCAGUAACUGACGCUGAGGAGCGAAAGCGUGGGGAGCGAACAGG
rnacentral:rRNA from 1 species